rnacentral:miRNA from 1 species
AAGUCCAGACAAGUGUUUUCU